rnacentral:rRNA from 1 species
UACGUAGGGGGGCAAGCGUUGUCCGGAUUUAUUGGGCGUAAAGAGCGUGUAGGCGGCCAGGGAGGUCCGUUGUGAAAACUCGAGGCUCAACCUCGAGACGCCGAUGGAAACCCCCUGGCUAGAGUCCGGAAGAGGAGAGUGGAAUUCCUGGUGUAGCGGUGAAAUGCGCAGAUAUCAGGAGGAACACCGGUGGCGAAGGCAGCUCUCUGGGACGGUACUGACGCUGAGACGCGAAAGCGUGGGGAGCGAACAGG